rnacentral:rRNA from 1 species
GACGUAGGGCGCGAGCGUUGUCCGGAUUUAUUUGGGCCGGUAAAAGAUGCGUUACGGUAGGCGGCUUGUCGCGUCGUUCGUGAAAAACCUGACAGCGUCAACCUCGCAGGCUUGCGGUCGGAUACGGGCAGGGCUAGAAGUUCGGUAGGGGGAGACUGGAAUUCCUGGUGUAAGCGGUGAAAUGCGCAGAUAUCAGGAGGAACACCGGUGGCGAAGGCCGGGUCUCUGGGCCGGAUAACUGACGCUGGAGGAAGCGGAAAUGACCGUGGGGAGCGAAACACGGA